CGGGGGGAGCAAGCGUUGUUCGGAUUUACUGGGCGCAAAGGGCGCGUAGGCGGCCACCGCAAGUCGACUGUGAAAUCUCCGGGCUUAACCCGGAAAGGUCAGCCGAUACUGCGGGGCUAGAGUGCAGAAGGGGCAACUGGAAUUCUCGGUGUAGCGGUGAGAUGCGUAGAUAUCGAGAGGAACACCUGCGGCGAAGGCGGGUUGCUGGGCUGACACUGACGCUGAGGCGCGAAAGCUAGGGGAGCGAACGGGAUUAGAUACCCCGGUAGUCCUAGCCUUAAACGAUGAAUGCUUGGUGUCUGGGGUUUUAUAGUCCCCGGGUGCCGUCGCUAACGCUUUAAGCAUUCCGCCUGGGGAGUACGGUCGCAAGACUG
rnacentral:rRNA from 1 species